UACAGAGGUGCCGAGCGUUUAGGCGGAAUCACUGGGCUUAAAGCGUGUGUAGGCGGACCGUUAAGUACCUUGUGAAAUCCCCCGGCUCAACCGGGGAACGGCUGGGUAUACUGGCGGUCUUGAGCCAUCCAGGGGCAGUCGGAACAGACGGUGGAGCGGUGAAAUGCGUAGAUAUCGUCUGGAACGCCGAAGGUGAAAACAGAACUGCUGGGGGAUGAGCUGACGCUGAGAC
rnacentral:rRNA from 1 species